AGGAAAAAGCGAGGGAAUACGACACAAGGACUUUAUUCGUUCCUUGUGUGUGGACGCACGCAGAAGAGCAAAAUGUCGAUCUUACCAGACGAGCUGUGGAGGCGAAUCCUUGAACUCGGUAUCAAAAGCGGCGGUUUUACCAGCAAGGACCUCUGCAGCAUCUCCAUUUGCUGCCGACUUCUCCACAGACUCUCCGACGAAGAAGCGCUCUGGUCCCACCUACUCCUCUCCGAUUUCCCCUCCGCCGCUUCUUCUUCUUCUUCACCAGUCAAGUCUAAAUCCUUAUACAGAAACAGGUAUGAGAGGGAGCGAGUGAGGAAGAUGGCGGCUCAUAGAAGGGCGGUGCUUAGAAAGGAGAGUGAAAUUGCGGAACAUUCUAGAAAGCUUCGAGGGAUCGAGAGUGGCUUGGCCGAGGACGGCGAGAAAAUGAGGGCAACUCUCGCAGAAUUGUCAAAUCUAGCAAGGGUCAGGGAAGCUUCAGUAGCUUUAAACGCGUGGCAGCCGGAUGUUAUCCGAGGUAGGCACAAACAAAUAGUUGAGCAAUGCGCAGUGCCUGUUGAAUCUCGGAUGCAUGCCCUGGAGAUGGAACUUCGGCUUUGUAACCACCGGAUUUCGGGGUUUCGGAGAGCCCUUAAAGAUGAGAAACUAAGGCUCGACAUGGCAAAGCAACAGCUGGUGUCGCUCAACUAUCACCCUUUACGAGAUUAUACGGGCGUCAGCGGUGGAGACCAUCAGAGUAACAUCAAGCGAAAGAAAAAGAAUCCCUGAAUCCGAGGCCAAGGUUAUUUUGGUAGGUGUCUUUUCUCAAGUUGUCGAAACCCCCAGGAGUGGGCCUGAUGAGUGAGGUCCUGGAUCGGUUACUGCACAGGGCAUUGAGGAGCUUUGCAACAGAUAUUUGGAAAAAUUUCUGGAGCAGCAGUUGUUCGUAGCGCUCAAGUAGUAUGAUAUACGGCUUUCCAAUGUUAUCAAUUCUAUGAUUUAUCCUUCUAGGGGUCUUCCUUGAUACUUUUCCGAAGGGACGGACGAUCUUCAUUUUUAUAUUUUAUUUUGAAUUUUCAAGUUGAGAUCCCUGAUCUCUUCAAGCACA